rnacentral:lncRNA from 1 species
UAUAUGUUGCAGGUCCGCAGCAACAUAAAAAGGUCGAUAGACGUUCCCCAGUAUAACAGUCACUUUCAGCUUUUCCCGUGAACAAAAAUAAAAUAAAAUACAACCCGCGGUAUUGGGAGUGGCCCGCGCCUAGUGGGUUCGUCAAAACGGUGUAUAGAAGACCCACGCGUGCCAUUACUAUACAUUGUGGCGCGCAGUAUACUUAAUGACACCAGAUAUUUCUGCAAAAAAAUUUAGGCGGUCAGCCGGUCAGUUGAGCACGAAAACUUCAAAUCCAGUCAACAGUCGGAGGUCGACCGAAAAUACGGUAGAACUUAUUUCGCCAAUCCAUCAUUCCUCGUACACGUCGUGAGUCGUGAACGGUGUUUAUUUAACUACAUUUGUGUGUGUGUGUUUCAAUUCACGUUAUUGCCCAGUGAUGGAUCCGUUUGCAGUGUUCCUCAUAGCCACUGGCUGCAUCUUGUUGUUACCGUUCUCCUUUUGUAUCGCGUGCAUGUGCUGCCAAUCAAGUCGUCCAGCCGAACCUCGACAACUCGGCGCUCUUAUUUAGAAUAAUUAAUGACUGAUUUUCCGUGCUGAGAGAACACUGCAGGGACAAACGAAAACAGGUUGUAUAUAAUUCACGAAAGCUAUACAUGGAUAACUGUGUUGUCAAAACGCGUGUCAUUCACAGACCUUGAGGUGUUUUGACAAGUCGACAUAUAUAUGCUAUAUAGGGCUGCACUCACGGAAAACUGUUGGUUGUUAAAAUGAUGCAAUUUACCGUUCGCGUCUAAGUGCUUGUUUGCUGUAUGCAAACUGCGCGAGACAUCACCGGCUGGUACGAAUUUCGGGAUUCCCCCAAUUGGGACACAAGACCUUGUUGCAUCGCAAAAUCCCGAAAAAACGAAAGCCAAUAAUGGGAAGUACAUAGUGCCAUGGUGUCCUACUUAUCCGAACGUCUUGAAUUUAUUUCGGCGAAUUACAUUCAAAGUGCCGGAAGCGUAUAGGAGACAGAUGGCAAUUAUGUUUAUAAGCGGUAACGUUUUGCUUCAUUGAUUGUCCAUUGUUUAAAAAGAAAUACCAAGUUUGAGGACAGUAGAAGUUUUAUAUAGUCUAUAUACACAUUUGUUAUCCGUCCCAGCAGACUAUUGUGCAUGUUAGUAUGAUAAAUUCAUUUGUAAUUUGAUGACGUAUAUAAUGAUUGAAGCUUUGAAAGGGUAUUGAUCUCACACACCUUCGUGUUCAACGAGGUAUAGCUAGUCAUGAAAUGUUUACUUAAUGUCUUAAUUGUGUCCUCAAUUUCAUACUUUUUUUUUAACCGGUUUUGUUCGCUAAAAAGGUUGGAAUGUGUGCAAAAAGAAAAAUGUUAUCAAUAAAACAAGAUGAAAGUUUCUUGAAUUUCACUUAAGCUAAUAAAGAGUUUCUACUACAUACACAAGUCUCAUCGCCUGAAAUACAACUGUGAGGAGAAACCUGUGAAAUGUGAUUGAAAAUAUGUGCCAAGGUCUUACGCUUUUCUAAGCAGUUGAUUUGAUUUGUUUUUCAUUGCUGCAAGAUGGAAAAAAUAUACCUGGUAUGUAGCCU